UAUGCAUCCUAGGUGUGCGCUCAAACAUCCUCUAUCGCUUCGUCAUAAUAAUAUAAAGUCCUCGUAUUUCCCCAAUUUAAUUCAUCGCCAAGAAAAUAUCAUAUAAUCAAUCAGAUUUAUCAAUUAGACGGAACAACCCCAAACAUUACUAUUACUUUCGAUCAGCACUAAGCAAAGAGUCUGACAAGAGUUUGCAUUAAAACAACACCUUAGUCCAAUUAUUUUAAAACUAGCCAUCUAUUACUUUAAUAUAUUUAAGCCUAAGGAAAAAAAGUCAAACCAAAGUACACUCCCUCACAGUACACGUCUAUACACCCAAUCCAACACAGAACUGAAUGAAGAAUAACAAUAUUUAAAAGAAUUAAACAUAACUACUCCCAGCCACCACGUGUAUAUACUCCAUUCACAACACAAUACAUACAUAUUAUUAUAUUCCCAACUCAACGCAUUUGCAAAAGAAAAGAGGAAAUAUUAAAAAGUAUACUCCUAGCCCCAAUUCGUCUUCUUCAUGAUUCCAACAGCAACUCUUUCUAUCCCUUCUUCUCAAAUUGUUACUCUGCCUCCCUCUAAAUAUCACUCUCUCUUUCUCUCUGUCCUCUUCUACAAUUCACCAAAACAGAAAAGAUCCCAACUCAUCCCCCUCGUUCCAAACUCGGCGCCGCAGGCAGCCUUCGCCGCCGCUGCUGUCAAGGCCUCUCCGUCGCCGAGAAACACCAGGAUUAAGGUUAAAGAGAAAACAAAAAGGCAACUUCUAAAAGCAUUAAAGAUCAAGGCUUUAACAAGAACAAUCAACCAAUAAUUUUCCAGGAGUUUUAAUGGUGUGAGCUGCUGUAAAUAUGUGAAGCUAUGACAUGGGACGGAAUGCAGAGAGUUCAGAUGUAUGGGUAUACCUCAAGGAAGACAAAGUUUACUAGCAAACAGGGGAAAUUGAGAUCGCAGCUCUCCCUUGGUUUCAAACUGCAAUACCACAGAAUUGGCUACAGAAUCAAAUGUGAGGGUUUCGUAUUUGUGGAAUCGAAGGGAGUUUACCUUUGAUUGGAAGGGAAGAAACUAUGCUGAAAUUAUGAAACGACGCUGAUAAAAGA